AGCCAGAGGAAGAUAUUUUUGGUUUAACCUGCCCAAUGUAUUAUUGUAUGAAUGGCCGCGGUACCCUGACCGUGCUAAGGUAGCGUAAUCAGUUGGCUUUUAAAUGGAGUCAGGUAUGAAUGGGAUAACCGGGCUUAGCUGUCUCAAAGACAUUUAUUUGAAUUUACUGUCCAAGUGAAAAAGCUUGACGUAAGAAAAGGGACGAGAAGACCCUUAGAAUUUUAUUUAAAGAGGAUUAUCUCCUCUAUGAUUUUGUUGGGGCGACAGAGAAAUAAUUAAAACUUUCUUUAAAUUAAUCAGUCGGAAUUUUCAGGUUAGGAUAAAUUACCUGAGGGAUAACAGCAUAAUUUUAUAAAUAAGUUUGUGACCUCGAUGUUGGACUAGGAAGCUAAUGGGUUAGCUGCUCAUUGUGCGGAUUCUGUUCGAAUUUUAACUCCUA
rnacentral:rRNA from 1 species